rnacentral:rRNA from 1 species
AACGGGAUUGGAAAUAGCAAUAUUACCAUGAGAGUGGCGCACGGGUGCGUAACACGUAUGCAAUCUGCCCCUAACUGGAAGAUAGCCCGGCGAAAGUCGGAUUAAUAUUCCAUAACAUUGCGAAACGGCAUCGUUUUGUAAUUAAAGCUCCGGCGGUUAGGGAUGAGCAUGCGCGACAUUAGCUAGAUGGCGAGGUAACGGCUCACCAUGGCUACGAUGUCUAGGGGGUCUGAGAGGAUUAUCCCCCACACUGGUACUGAGACACGGACCAGACUCCUACGGGAGGCAGCAGUAGGGAAUAUUGGGCAAUGGACGCAAGUCUGACCCAGCCAUGCCGCGUGCAGGAUGACGGCCCUAUGGGUUGUAAACUGCUUUUGUACAGGAAGAAACCCCUUUACGUGUAGAGGGCUGACAUUACUGUAAGAAUAAGGAUCGGCUAACUCCGUGCCAGCAGCCGCGGUAAUACGGAGGAUCCAAGCGUUGUCCGGAUUUAUUGGGUUUAAAGGGUGCGUAGGCGGACCAUUAAGUCAGAGGUGAAAGUUUGCAGCUUAACUGUAAAAUUGCCUUUGAAACUGGUGGUCUUGAGUACAGUUGAGGUGGGCGGAAUGUGUCAUGUAGCGGUGAAAUGCUUAGAUAUGAUACAGAACACCGAUUGCGAAGGCAGCUCACUAAACUGUAACUGACGCUGAGGCACGAAAGCGUGGGGAGCGAACAGGAUUAGAUACCCUGGUAGUCCACGCCCUAAACGUUGAAUACUCGUUGUUGGCGAUAUACAGUCAGCGACUAAGCGAAAGCAUUAAGUAUUCCACCUGUGGAGUACGACCGCAAGGUUGAAACUCAAAGGAAUUGACGGGGGCCCGCACAAGCGGAGGAGUAUGUGGUUUAAUUCGAUGAUACGCGAGGAACCUUACCUGGGCUUGAAAGUUAGCGACCGCUGCCGAAAGGUGGCUUCCCUUCGGGG